UCUCCGUUGGUGAACCAGCGGAGGGAUCAUUACAGGACUCGCAAGACUCCUACAACCCUGUGAACUUAACUAUAAGCACGUUGCUUCGGCGGGUGUCUCUGAGGGGGUUCUCCCUCCCCGAGACGCUAAACCCGCCGGCAGCCUACUAGACUCUGUCUCUUUGCGUUGGCAUCUCGAGUACAAUCAAACAAGUUAAAACUUUCAACAACGGAUCUCUUGGUUCUG
rnacentral:misc_RNA from 1 species